CCGCUCUCGCGUAGAUCGGCGGCGGCUACAAGUGCGGCUCUGAAUCCAUCUCUCGCACCUCACCCCACCGCUAAGCCCUGGCACCGUAGCUGACGUCGCCGCAGAAGCCUCGCCCCUCCCAAGCCCCAAUUCCUCCGCCUCUCACGCGCUCGUCGCCGUCGCCGCCGCCCCCAUCCUCCCCUCGUCGCGUCGUCCCGUCGCUUCUUCCUCAGCCCCGUCCGCGGUCUUAACGACUUAAUCAUCGGGAGACCAGACUUUAGAAGCCACUUGCCCAAACUAUCAAAAUCCUUGUUUGACGAAUAAGAAGCCAAAAAACUCUUCAGGACAGCGAGUUAACUCUAGUUCCUCUGUGACAUGUCUUCUCCAUCACAGCUACAACAAUUGCAACCACUAAUGGAGGCAAAUGGUCACUCCGAUUUGCUGACAAUAGAAGCAGUACGCAAGUUCAUAUUUGAAGCUGGACAUGGGCCUGAUGUUCUAAACUCGUCAUAUUUGAAGGAGACGGUUCGUGCGAUUGCCAAUAAGUUUCAGGUUGGAAUUCCUACAUAUAAAUCACUUCUGCUGGAGGAACUAAAAGAAACACAGACCCGUGAAAGGGAACUGAAGCAAGAAUGGGAGAAAAGUGGUUGCAGUGUAAUUCUGGAUAGUUGGGGAUGUGGUGCAAAAAGCUUCGUAAGUGUUUUGGUACAUUGCAGGAAAGGCAUGUUGUUCCUCAGAUCCAAAGAUGUGUCUGCAAUCAUUGAGGACGUGGAUAUGCUAGAAGAAAUGAUUUCUUGCGUGGUUGAUGAAGUUGGCGCCAGUAACAUAGUUCAAGUUGUCAUGAAUGACGCAUCGCCAUAUAUGCAAAAUGCACGGCAUAGAGUGCUGAAGAAACAUCGCCAUUCAUUCUUCUUCCCGCUGUGUGCUGACUUUUGCAUCAACUUUCUGCUUGGGAAAAUUGCAGCACUUGGUCACAUCAGUGAGGUUCUAACGAUGGCAAAGGAAAUAACAAGGUUUAUAAAUGGCAAUGAGAUGCCAGUUAAACUUGUUGGAAACGGCAAGAUAGUGAGCAAUUCUUGUUUGAAAUAUGUUGCUGCAUUCUUGACACUAGAGAAGCUAGUUUCCGAGAGAGCAAAUCUGGUGGAGAUGUUUAACUCUCCUGAAUGGGCUUCCUCUGAUUGGGAUGCUAGCAGUACUUUCCGGUAUAUCUGUGACAUAGUGAAGACAGAUGCAUUUUGGUGUGCUGCGGCUGAUGUUUUAAAGGUUACAAUUCCAUUCGUCAAGGUGUUGUUUAAAUUAGAACGUGAUGAUUGUCCAAUGAGUAUCUUGUAUGAGGCCAUGGAUUGUGCUAAAGAAGAGAUAUUGCGCUAUGUUGGAGAUAAGCAUGGUGAUAUUUUGUCUUGGGUUGACAAGAUAUGGGAUAUCUACUUGCAUUCCCCACUGCAUGCUGCUGGUUAUAUGCUAAACCCAAGUGUCUUUUACAAAGACCAUGCCUGUAAUGAUCCUGAGGUCAUCAGCGGUAUUGAGGUCUGCAUCACCCAAAUGGCCAACGGUAAUUAUGAUCCAAAGAAAGUCAAAGCACAAACUGAAGUAUAUAGAAGAAAAUUGGGUUCGUUAGGUUCAGAUUCAUCAGCAAUUAAGAAAAUGAUGGAAUUACCACAAGUUUAUUGGUGGUCGGUGCAUGGGACUGACACACCUGAGCUGCAAACCCUUGCGACCCGGAUAUUAAGCCAAACAUGCUUUGGCGCUAAAAGGUACAACAUUGACUGGCACAUAUCUGAGAAGGUGCAUGAGGCGAAGGCAUUUCAUGACCAGGACCUUUAUCGCGGGCUGGAGUACGUCCACUACAAUAUGCGUCUCGCCAGUGCUAAACCACUCAUAGGAGGUCUUUGUGGGGAUCAGGUUGGUAAACCUGCCAGUCCGCUGGUGAUUGGAUCUGGGUUCCGCGGCAUCGCCAAUGACGGCUCACCGUCCAGACUCUGGAGCAAUGCGUCCAUCUCCUUUUUCUUUUUCCAGAAGCGCUCGCGCUCUCAUCUCCAAUCUGGUAUUCUGGUGUGAUUCUGAUUGUGCCUCAUCAGACUCUUGCUUGUUUUAUUUCUUGAACAAUCAUCAUAGCCAGGUGGACCUAGCUAUUUUCCAUAGAAACCGACUGUGGUUAAUUGUGGUGUAAUAGAAAAAAAUCUGUGACAUUCAGCCAUCAGAACCAUGACAGAUGACAUAUGGAGGUACCUUGGUGUAACCCCGGUGUGGGUGUUACCUAUAUUUUCCUUAUUUCUAAACUUUACCCCGUAUUCAUUCCUUGCAUCUAAUGUAAAACAGUGAUGCGUAGUGCAUGCAUAAUCUGACAUCUUUGCGUGGACAGAAUUUGCUAGUAGGAACCGUAUACUAUUAUAAUCUAUUGAAACCGAAAUGCUCGAUUCCUGGCUGCAUCUGUAAGGUUUAAUUCUUGGCUGAAAGAGUGCAAGAUUUGUUUCCCUUCUUUGCAAGACAUACAUGAAUGUAGUGUCUCAUUUAUAUAUGCGUGUACAUAUUUUUUGUUAGCCACUCGAAUUUUAUUAAACUAGAAUUCUAGUAUUGUAGUAUACAUAUAAUAUAGUGGUUGGAUACCCAUAUAUCAACAAAAUGUCCUACACAUUAUCAGUAUAAUAUUGUUUUUUAUAAUUUACCAUUUCAUAUAUCAAGGAGUUGAAUAUUUUGCCCUUUUUCAUAUUUUGUAAUUAUCAACGGUGGUAAAUCUAGUUGAUGAAUUUACUGUGCUAUUCUUGGUGAAUGUUAUUUAUGUUGAAAGAUUGGCAUUGUUAUGUUUGGCGAUUGGUAAAACAUGAGUCAAAUGCAAUCCAAAAGAAAUAUGUGGAUCUGAUGGGGGCAUGAUUUAGACAACACCCAGCUUGUGAAAAUGUCAUUGACAUUUCUUGUCAGAAUAUGGUUUCCAUGUUAGACAUCAUCCAGUUAUCAAGUGGUCGUGUUGGUAGUUUAAGUCUUCAACAUGUCACUGGAAAUGAUUUAGGUUUGCAACAAAGCAUUUCCUAACUUAUUUUUGCUUCAUCUACUGGGAUGUCCAAUGAUCAACGACA